GUCCCGACCACCUCCCAGUUUGCCGACAUCUUCACCAAGGGACUACCCUCCUCGACCUUCUUGGAGUUUCGCUCCAACCUCAACGUAGCAGGUGGCUAGUUGUGGAUGCGCGGGGGGUGGGGGUAUUUGACCUUUGUACUUUCUUCUUGUGUAGUCUUGAACACCGCUGCGAUGGUAGUUCAGACUGCAGGGGAUGUUGGCUUUCUUGUUGUCCAGUCUUGAACACCGCUGCGCCGGUAGUUCAGACUGGGGGGGUGCUGGUGUAUAUUGAGCCCAUGUAUAGAGGCCCAUCUAGAUGCUCAUGUAUAGAAACUAUAUAUCCCACCCUUCUAUGGUUUGGAUGUAUAGAUCCGAUUAUUCUCUCCUACAGAUAUAUGUAUAUACCUACAUUAGGUUCAGGCUACUAAUUCAUACCUACAAUUCUACUACUGUUUUGUUUACUACAGAUAUAUGUAUAUACCUACAUUAGGUUCAGGCUACUAAUUCAUACCUACAUUAACGAGCCACGAUGCCAUUCAGAUCCAUCAGGCGACACAUUGCAGGUCCUUUAGUUUUAAUUUACUACUGUUUUGUCUCCUUUUAAUUUUGUAGCCUGCACAUGUUCUAACACUUUUUUCAGAUGGGCUGCGAAUGUGGUAUGCUGGAACAGCAGCACCAGCAGAUCCUUAUGAAAUCCAGAGUCGGGUGCGAUUAAAUUUUACUAGCAUAGGCAGAUCUAGGAGCAUGGGUAAUCGAGGAAUUGGUGUAGCAGCUUUAGUAUUAAAGUGCUCCUUUUCAAUAGACAUAUCCAUAUUGUAACACCAAUUGAAUUAUUGUUGCUGAGCAGCUUGGCGUCGAAUUUGUACAUACUAUAUAUGAUGAGCUCUGGUUGACAUCUGGGCUUCAGUUGUUGAUGUGUUUGAUUGAAAUUUAUGUGAUUGUGAACCAUUUAAAUUAAA